UACGUAGGGUGCAAGCGUUAUCCGGAAUUAUUGGGCGUAAAGAGCUCGUAGGCGGUUUGUCGCGUCUGCUGUGAAAACUGGAGGCUCAACCUCCAGCCUGCAGUGGGUACGGGCAAACUAGAGUGCGGUAGGGGAGAUUGGAAUUCCUGGUGUAGCGGUGAAAUGCGCAGAUAUCAGGAGGAACACCGGUGGCGAAGGCGGGUCUCUGGGCCGAUACUGACGCUGAGGAGCGAAAGCGUGGGGAGCGAACAGG
rnacentral:rRNA from 1 species